rnacentral:lncRNA from 1 species
AUGGAGGAGUUAACGGGGGCGGGCCCGGUCGGGGCGGGGCGGGGCCUCGGCUGGUGGCUCUGGCCCGGGGCCGGGAGGAGUCGCCGCCGGGUCCCUGCGCCGCCGCGGAGCCCGGAUCCCCCAGCCGCAGGGAGAGGCGCCGCCCGCCCCGUCCAGCUGCCCCGCGCAGGAUCCAGGAGUGUCUGUGAGUCUGAGGUGCAGGCCGCCCUUCUGUCAUGGAGGACCCCACAGCGGGUAGGAUUUACUAAGCCGGGACUCAGCCCUGACCUUUCAAAGUCAAUUAUGCAGCAGAGAGAGCCUGCCCUUUUCACUUUUUCCUUCCUCAUCUCUUUAUCUCUGGGACCCUGCAGGGACUCGCUGGAGCUUGAAGUGGGGGGUGGUGCUGCCUCAAGGGGAGGGGGAGCCUGUGUGGGAGCAGGGGCUGACCAAAUGCCUGUUCCCUGAGUCCAAAGGCAUUUAUUGAGUGCCUACUGUAUGCUGGGCCUGUCCUGGGUGCUGGCGAUAGCUACAGCAGUCAAUACCCGGUCCCUGCUCUCCCAGAAUGUCCAUUCAAGACAGACAGGCAGACACAAACAAGAUGCAAGGUGAUGUGAAGAGAGUUGUUUAGUCACUCAGUUAUGUCUGACUCUUUUACGACCCCACGGACUGUAGCCCGCCAGGCUCCUCUGUCCAUGGGUUUUCCCCUAGGCAAGAAUACUGGAAUGGGUUGCUGUUUCCUUUCCCAGGGGAUCUUCCCAACCCCGGGAUGGAACCCAUGUGUCCUAUGUUGGCAGGCAUACUUUUUUUUUUUAACCAUUGAGCCACCAAGGAAGCCCUGGGACUAUGGAUAAGCAUAUUUUCAUUUUGCAUUUGUGCAUUUUCUAAAUUUCCUUCAAUAAUGACAGAUUUCCCUCACUUCUUGAACUUCCAAGUACCCAAUCUAUUCAAUCUAUCCCUUUAACGUCAACUUCAUAGCCAUUGCCUCUGUCCUGACUCAGUCCUCUUUCUUGCCUUGACUUUUACAACAACCUUCUCCAGCUGUGAGUAAACUAACAAGAAGCACCUCACAGAUGUGUGUACCUCUCUCCCACCAGCCAUCUAUGAUGGCAGAAAUCAUGUCUUAUUUAUAUUUAUCUCCAGUGUCCAGUCCCGUGCAGGGCCUAGAGGAGGCACUCAGAUGUUGGAGAAACUGAAGUUCUCCUCAAAUAGGAUGUAACCUCCUGGAAAAGAAGAGCCCUAUCUUGAGAUUCUGUGAUUCCUGUAAUUCCUCCACACAAUGGGUGGGUGUGGGUGGGCAGGACUGUGGGUAGAGAGGGCCUCCCUGAGGAAGUGAUGGAGGUAUGGGAGCUAGUCCUAAGUAGAUCAGAAGGAAGGACAGAGGUGGUGAGACUGGAAAGAAGGUCCAGCCUUGAGCCUGCUGAGGUGGGGGAGGGAGAGGUGGGCACGAAAGUCAGCUAGGCUGCGAAGGCUGGUCAGGCAGCGCCUUGUCACCUGGGGGGAAGACUUGAGAUUUUGUCCCAAGUCCAUGGGGAAGUUAUUGGAGGAUUUCAAGCAGAGAAAGAUUAAUAACAAGAGCUGAUGGACAUGUUAGAGAGACCUGUCUGACUGCCACGUGGGGAGUGAGUGGAGGGAAGCCAGAGUGGCAUGCAGGAAAGCCUUGGGGAGGCUCAACUGCAAGGUCCAAACCAGCGGUCAUGGUGGAGCAGAGUGGGCAGCGGCCGGGGUUUUAGAGACAUGCAUGGGUUCAGAAUUUAGUGUGGAGGUUAGGGAGAGCCCAGAGGACUCUCCCAUGGGAAGAUGCUGCUCAGGCACCUGGGAGGUUCCUGUGGGCCUGCUGGAUGCCUUGGG